rnacentral:rRNA from 1 species
UUUUCCUAAAGAUUAAGCCAUGCAUGUCUUCGAAUAAGAGGAAGCAAUUCUCUCUGAAUCUGCGAACGGCUCCGCAAACCAGUUGUAAACCAUAGCAGGGUACCCUGGGCGUCUGCUGCUUCACGGCGGUGGGCGCCCAUACAUUAUAUGGAUAACCGUGGUAAUUCUGAGGCUAAUACAUGACAAACACACCCGUGUCCCGGCCUAAAAAACUGGGGCGCGGGGAAUGUGCGCGACUAAGCUACGUUUGGCUAAGGCGACCCUGGCGAGCAUGAAUGAGCGCACGUUCAGACCACCGAUUUGCGUGGGUGUCGUCCUGCGUCCUGUCCUGGGCAACCGGGGUGGGGCAACGGGCGGCGUCCUGGUGGCCCCUGCAACGGGCUUCUGACCUAUCAACUAGACGGCAGCGUAAGGGACAUGCUAUGGUGACAACGGGUACAGAGGAUUAGGGUUCGAUCCUGGAGAGUGGGCCUGAGAGAUUGCUCAUACUUCUAAGGAAGGCAGCAGGCGCGCAACGUUCCCCUUGGGCAUCGCUCGAGGGCGUUAGGGGAAAUAUGAAUGGCUGCCUCUAAGGUGGCCAAUUCAAAUGGGUUUGUUGUAAACAGGCUCUCGAGUAACAAUUAGAGGACAAGUCUGGUGCCAGCACCCGCGGUAAUUCCAGCUCUAAUAGCAUACGUUAAAGUUGUUGCGGUUAAAACGCUCGUAGUCGGCCUCAGACCACCAGAAGCCUGCCUUGGACCCCUGGGUCUGUGCCUUCCCUCCCUUCACGGGGAGGCUGAGGGCGCGCUGGGGGAUUAGGGCGGGUGGGCGGCGGUCAAUCGUGCUCACAAUGGCGUUCCUUCCCUUCCGGGGGUCGGAUUACAGGGCCUCCCACGCCCCGCGUGCCUAGCACCCAGGCUUCGGCUUGGGAUGGCGUGCGCGACACGGGGAUCAAGGCCCGGCCGUGGGCACCAUUUACCAUGAUCAAACCGGCGUGAUCAAAGCAGGCCGUUACGGUCCCUGCACGGCAUAGCAUGGCAUAAGGCGCGCUUCUUCCGUUCUAAGCCUGGCUGGGCGGGAGGGGUGAGCCGCGAAAGGGGUGUUCGGGGGCAGCCGAAUUGCCGGGCGAGUGGUGAAAUACGUUGACCCUAGCAAGUCGACCGAAAGCGAAAGCAGCUGUCAAGGGCACACCCGUUGAUCAAGAGCGAAAGUUAAGGGUUCGAAGACGAUCAGAUACCGUCGUAGUCUUAACUAUAAAUGAUACUGGCCAGGGAUAGGGCAAUGUCCAUCUCGACUCCCCCCGGACCUUACGGGAAACUCUAAGCCUAUGAGUUCUGGGGGGAGUAUGGUCGCAAGGCUGAAACUUAAAGGAAUUGACGGAAAGGCACACAAAGAGUGGAACCUGCGGCUUUAAUUUGACUCAACACGGGAAAACUCACCGGGUCCGGAUACAUGCAUGAAAGACAAGCUGACAGACUUUUCUCAAUUAUGUAAGUGGUGGUGCAUGGCCGUUCUUAGUUCGUGGAGUGGUUUGUCUGGUCUAUUCCGAUAACGAGCGAGACCCCAGCGUUCUAACUAGGGGCCGCAGCCCGGCUUGGACCUGCCCUUCACGGGGUGGGACCUUGCUAGCAGCGGCUUCGCAGAAACGGAUUUUUUGUGAUUAGCUUCUUAGACGGAUCAGGGCCGAUAAGGUCUUUGAAAUGGGUUAAUAACAGGUCAGUCAUGCCCUUAGAUGUUCCGGGCCGCACGCGCGUUACAAUGGGAGGCAAAAUGAGUUCUCGUUUCGUAGCUUCCCCGUGUCCGACAGGACACGGUAAACCCUAAGUUCUCCCUUGACUGGGCUAGACUCUUGCAAUUAUUGGUCUUCAACGAGGAAUUUUUAGUAGUCGUGGGUCAUUAACCCGCGACGAAUGCGUCCCUGCCUUUUGUACACACCGCCCGUCGCUGCUACCGAUUGGGUACAGCGGUUACGCGUUCGGAGGCCGGGUUGACAGCGCCUUUCGGGGUGUGGGAUGCCCGGCCGAAGUUCUAAUUGCCGUCGGCCUAGAGGAAGCAGAAGUCGAACA